rnacentral:rRNA from 1 species
UGUUUAACUGACAUGAUUGUGGGACGUCCUACCGGUGGACUUAGCCUCUAUCUCUUCUGAUUUAGGGGCGGUCCAGCUAAUAUCCCAUCGCGGUGCUUUUCAUCGAGUGUCGAGGUGGGCCGGUACGUUUACUUUGAACAAAUUAGAGUGCUCAAAGCAGGCCAUCCUCGCCUGAAUACUGUGUGCAUGGAAUAAUGGAAUAGG